CACCAAGAUCACAGUGGAAAUGGGAAGAGAUGUUGGCAGCCAGGAGUGCUGCUGAAGGAGGGCAGGUAUAGCCCAGAGCCCUGUCCUCUCCCCACAGAGACCGUUUGAUUAUUAUUUUUAUUUUUCAGAGCUGGGGAUGGAACCAGGGCCCUGUGCGUGCCAGGCAAGCACUCACAACUGAGCCCCACACCAGCCCUGCCCUGCUGAUUGACCGGGUUGAACUACCCAGGAUGCAGCUGCCCCCAAACCCAUGGAGCCGAGGCCUGUCACCAGCCACAAGGAGAAUGUGUCCCCGAGGCCUGUGGCUCCCCUGAGGCCAGAGCAACGGAGAUUCCUGAGGACCCUGGGUGUCAGCCUGGGCAGUGGCCAUGGCCCGUGGGUGCCCUUGUGCCGGGCUGCAAGGGGAGAACCCGCCGACACCUGCUCCCCAAGGGCAACACUAUGCCAGGAGCCCAGCCAGGUCCAGACCAACCUCACCAGCCCUCGUUCCCACCCAGCCCUGAAGGACACGCUGGGCCGGCUGGUGAAUUCCAGCUUCCCACAACAGAGCAACCUGCAGCCCUGCGCCCAGAAGGCCCUGGGACAGGAGCCUGCGGCCCAGCAGAGUAACCUGUGUCUGAGCCUGGCCACCAGCCCCCCACCCCAGGGCAGCCUCGGGGCGCUGGCCCCCUGCCUGUGGCCGGCACCCCCAGCCACAGAGCCCAGGCCCACUGCAGGCUUUGCCCCUCCCCAUGGGUGCACAUGGCCAGGCCCCCGAUUCUGGGGUGGCCUGGGGAGCUGGACCUCUAGGCUCACAGGGGAGCCCCUCACCCUGGAGGACCUGGCUGUCCCUGCCCAGAGACAAGCUUGGGACCCAUCCCAUGCUCCCACCCACCAGCUGCUGGCCUCUAUGCGGCACCUGGAGAAACAGGCAGCCUGUCCCAGGGGCCGGGUAUCCCGGGAGUCCCCAAGUCCUGCACAGCGGGGCCCCUGCCCUGGCUCUGGCCAAGUCCUUCCUGCCCGGCCCCAGCCCAGUUGGCCUGUUCUUGCUUCCUGGGAUGAGAGGAGAAGACACCCCAGAGGUCACAGGGAAACUGCAGAUCUCUGGGUGACUCACGCUGGUCACUCAGAUUCUCAGGCACCCAGCAAGCCAGUGUCACCCAAGACCACUUUGGGGAUGCGGACUGGGCCUCCUCAUGACUCCAAGCAGGCAAUCCUUCCUGCCCAGCCUCUCAGGUCGGGAGAUGAGAGACCCCCAGGGCCUACACAUGGCAGUGGGGACAGGGGGGACCCUGCUGGCUCUCCACGCUUCUCCAGCACAGCCACAGCCGGGAGCUUCCUACCUGGGUGGAAGGAGAAGUGCGCACCCCGAGGGAGCUGGGAGGGAGGACAGCUUCCUGAGCCCCAGAUCUAG
rnacentral:lncRNA from 1 species